AAUCGCUAGGCUACUGGCUGGGCCCUUCUGCUGGAGAUUUGUCACCGUGUAAAGUAUUGUUCUCUUUUGUUUUUCCAGACUGGUGAGAGAAAGAGCGGGCUCUUGUACCUACUCACGGGACUGUUUCUGCAUUUCAUCCUGUGACCAAAGUGGAGGUUUUCCCACCCUCAGGGCUUGAGUGAAUUCAGGAAAUAAGACUUGCGUUACUUAAGAAUGCCCAGUGUCUUUUUUGGAAGGGAAGACCCAGGCUGUGCUACAUUGCCAUUAAUGGAAAUGCAAGGAAUCAUCUCGGUGAACUAGAUCUGCAAUCAGUGUGCUCCAAUGGCAAGUAGAAGAGCAUGGCUGACUGACCCCGUUAGCACAGUGGAGCUAAUUAACACUUGAUGAUUUGAAUGGUAAAACCUUAUGUAUUCCAUGUCCAUUCUCUGCUCUUUGUGUGUUUACAUCUUUGAAGUUGGUA
rnacentral:lncRNA from 1 species